rnacentral:rRNA from 1 species
GGGGGAAUUUUGCACAAUGGGGGAAACCCUGAUGCAGCGACGCCGCGUGAUUUAGAAGGCCUUCGGGUUGUAAAAAUCUUUUUUACGGGAGGAAAAUGACAGUACCGUAAGAAUAAGGUCCGGCGAAAUACGCGCCAGCAGCGGCGGUAAUAUGUAUGGACCGAGAGUUGUCCGGAAUCAUUGGGCGUAUAGGGUACGUAGUCGGCCUAUUAAGUUAGAAGUGAAAUAAUAUAGCUCAACUAUAUAAAGCUUUUAAAACUGCUAGGCUUGAGAGAUGUGAGGGAAAGUGGAAUUCCUAGUGUAGCGGUGAAAUGCGCAGAUAUUAGGAAGAAUACCGGUGGCGAAGGCGACUUUCUGGUCAUCAUCUGACGCUGAGGUACGAAAGCGUGGGUAGCAAACAGG